AGCAGCCGCGGUAAUUCCAGCUCCAAUAGCGUAUAUUAAAGUUGUUGCAGUUAAAAAGCUCGUAGUUGAACUUCGGGAUCAAUGGAUUGGUCAUGCCGAUGGUGUGUACUGGUCAUAUUGGUUCUCACCUUCUAAGGAACCAUAAUGUCAUUUAUUUGAUGUUGUGGGGAAUUAGGACUGUUACCUUGAAAAAAUUAGAGUGUUUAAAGCAGGCUAACGCUUGAAUACAUUAGCAUGGAAUAAUGAAAUAGGACAUCGCAUUCUAUUUUGUUGGUUUCUAGGAUCGAUGUAAUGAUUAAUAGGGAUAGUUGGGGGCAUUAGUAUUCAAUUGUCAGAGGUGAAAUUCUUGGAUUUAUUGAAGACUAACUACUGCGUAAAGCAUUUGCCAAGGAUGUUUUCAUUAAUCAAGAACGAAAGUUAGGGGAUCGAAGACGAUCAGAUACCGUCGUAGUCUUAACCAUAAACUAUGCCGACUAGGGAUCGGAUGAUGUUGAUUUUUAAUGUAA
rnacentral:rRNA from 1 species